GUCUCAGGGUUUGAUUUAUACAGCCUAUUUUUAUACAAACAGUUUAAAUAGUGAUAAGCGAAACGAUUAUUUUAGUGAAUCGAAUCAUUUAAUUCAGUACACUGAAAAGAUUCGAAUCUUUACAUAUCAGUACAGGCUGAUUUUUCAUCCAUCUAUCCAUCCAUUCUCUGUACUGCUUAUCCUACACAGGGUCGUGGGGAGCCUGGAGCCUAUCCCAGGGGACUCGGGGCACAAGCCGUAGAUCUAUGUAGAUCUGAGUCCUGAAACUCCCCCAGCUAUCCAGAUGGUGUGUUCUCAGUUCUGAUACACCUGAUUGGUUACAUGAAGAGUUUGAGAAGAAGGCAUGGAGUUGUUUGUGAGAGCAAUGAACUCUGCAGUAUUACAAUGAUUAUUUCAUCAAAUGCAAUAAUGAUUCUGAAAAACCCUAUGAUUACAAUUAGUCCCACAUGACAAUUGAACAAAAGUGUAUCUCUGUUGGAUCAUGAUUAAAAAUUGCUCAGCCAUA